rnacentral:rRNA from 1 species
CCUACGGGUGGCAGCAGUGAGGAAUAUUGGUCAAUGGACGGAAGUCUGAACCAGCCAUGCCGCGUGCAGGAAGACGGCUCUAUGAGUUGUAAACUGCUUUUGUCCAAGGGUAAACCUGAAUACGUGUAUUCAGCUGAGAGUACUGUACGAAUAAGGAUCGGCUAACUCCGUGCCAGCAGCCGCGGUAAUACGGAGGAUCCAAGCGUUAUCCGGAUUUAUUGGGUUUAAAGGGUGCGUAGGCGGAUUGAUAAGUUAGAGGUGAAACGUCCGGGCUCAACUCGGGAACUGCCUCUAAUACUGGUGAUCUAGAGAGGAGGUGCGGUAGGCGGAAUGUAUGGUGUAGCGGUGAAAUGCUUAGAGAUCAUACAGAACACCGAUUGCGAAGGCAGCUUACCAACCUAACUCUGACGUUGAGGCACGAAAGCGUGGGGAGCAAACAGGAUUAGAUACCCUUGUAGUC